rnacentral:lncRNA from 1 species
GGAAUGCUGGACAUUACACAACUUGGGAUCCUGCAGGCAGGACUAAACAAUUGCUGCUGGACUUCACUGUUUUCACCUCCUUUGCUUGGAAUAUGCUGAUAUUUUAGUGCAAUGCUUGAGCUAACUACUGUAGAGCCUGAGAGGAUGAAAAUCAGUUAGAAGAAGGCUGGAGAGUCCAGUAUUUUCUCUCCUGAGCGAUUUGUGGAAGUAAACUACGAAAGGCAAUCCAUGUAAUACUCAGCAGGCUAAUGUACACAUAAUACUCCCAGAUGUCAGAAGAAGAUACAGAGAAAGUGAAAAAUAGAACAACACAAAGCGUUGACAAUGACCAGCAAAAUACUUCCACAGUGCUGAAAGAAGACAGUUGUCCCAGCUCUCUUCCUCUACAAGUCCUCCCUAUCGUACUUCUGAAUCACACAGAUCAUUCAGGUAAGAUUUAAUUUGAAGAUACAGUAAUGUCAUUUGAUCCCUGAUAUAUCACAAUAUGUGGUGAUCCACAAACAGUAGAACAUGUUAAGAUUUAAGCAUGUCUUAGGAUACAGUAUAAUUUUGAAACAGUUUCAGUGGAGCAUUUUCAUGCCCAUUGCUUUUAAAUACAAAUUGCCAUGAGAACACACUCUACAUGAAUAGAAGUGAAGGUAGGGUUUAUACUGUACUCUCAAAAUAGGUUUAUAGGUCACAUGGUUGUUGUAACAAAGUUCCUAAGGCGUGAAAGCUUUUCUUGAUUGGUUCGAAGCUCAUCUGGCUCACAGGUUAAAAGUAGUCGCUGGAGGCCAAACCAAAUCCCCUGAAGUGUGGUUGGCU